GUCUGCCGCGCCUGAUUCCUUAUGGCUUCCAAUUAGCGCGCCUAGCGGCUCCUGACGUCCGUCUAGGGCAAGGCAUUCGCUCUGUCCGCAAGCAUCCCUUCCCCUCUCGAUUGAAUCAGGUAUGAGGACUGUCGACAUCUGCAUGGAAGAUCGGAUAGAGAACAGAUACAGUGGAUUGCUCUUGCUUUUCGUGGUUUCCAUCAGGAGAAAACUGCGAUAUCAGCUCAAUUGGUGCACUUGAUUGGGGAGUUGUGGUCUCUUGGCAUUCUGGCACAUCAUUCCUAGGGGGGCUUGGAACCAUUGCAACAUGCUCUUUGCCUGCUUCUGCUUCUCCCACCAUAUUUUUUCAAUGUUAAGUACACAAAUUCAUCAAAAUAAGAAAAGCAAUGGAAACAAGUUGGAACAGCUUUGAGUAUUGGCUGGAACAUACUUGCGAUGGUUUAUAUCUGCAUUGAUCUGCUGGGAUGCAAUCUAAUUUGUCAAUUUCUUCAGAGCACAGAGUGCCAAGUUCAGCAUCUACAAAUAUUUUAUCCUUAUGACAAAAUAACCAUGUUUGUUCAACUAUUUUGAUGACUAAGAAAGCAUUUACUUA